AGAACAUAAAAGUUGACCAAAUAGAGGUCUAAACAUGGAACUAAACAUGACCUAAAAUAAACUUUUCAUUAUUUUUUCCAUUAUUUCGAAAUAUUAACUAUGACAUAUAUUCCUUAUUCUUUUACAGGUGGAAUGCACAUUGGAUACAUAGUUUUUAUCGUUGCGGUGUCAGUUGGAACUUUUGUAUUUACAUUUCUUUCUAUAUAUGCUAAAAUACUUCAGAAGAUAAAAGUUCGGCACAGGAAGAGAAAUGACUCGUCUAUGAAGAAGGCAACCAUAUAACACGCAUUCACAAGAUGCAUUAUUUCAUGAGAGACUUCUUUGUGUUUCAUUUUAAUUACUAGUUUUGAUAUGUGUCUUUUGUUCUAACAUUUUGUAAUAAUGAUGUUUUUCAUUAGGAAUACUUCCAAUUGAAUUAUAGAGAGUGUGAGGCAAAGGCUAGUAAUAGUGCAAAAUGUUCAACCAACUUGAUUAAGCAUAUUUUACAAGUAAUACACAGAGAGAAUAUUAUUUUUAUUUUAGUAUCUAUUGUUUACUUAUUAUUUGAUAUUAAAUGCUACAUGUAAGUCCGUCUUGGCGGAUGAAAUAUCAACGAAGUAACAUCUUGUCAAUGUAAGAUCACACGUGUGUUUUGGUCUUCAUUUUUAGUAUUAUACAUUUUUUAAAAUUUAUACACAUACCGUAGAAC
rnacentral:lncRNA from 1 species